UUUGAUAACGGUAGCUACUAGAGAAAAGC
rnacentral:piRNA from 1 species